UCAGAUAGCUGAUACUCCGC
rnacentral:miRNA from 1 species